CUGUCCCGCCAACUGCACACAUUAAUAACAACUGUGUGUGACCUUCCGUCACUGGGCAGCACUGCCGGGUCACCAGGGACAUCACUUUCGGAGGGAAAGUCACCCCUGGUGCGCUGUGCUGACUGCCCUAGCAAGUCGGAUAGGAAGACCCGGCACCGAUGCAACAGGUGUGCAAAACCAAUGUGCCCUCGGCACCUGUACCCCACCUGUGGUGACUGCAUGUAAAACCUCCCAGUGGCAGUAGAGGGGUGUACCUGACUGAGGCUAAGGUUUAAUGACCUAAGAAGCAGUGCACACAAGAAGAAGUCUCUGUUUUCAAUACUUUUUUUUUGACAAUUUUUUUUUCAAAAUUCACAGUAAAAUUUACUCUUUUAGUUUACUUAACAAUAAAAUCACUUAUAAUAUUAAAAUAUGAUACAAAAUAAAUUUAUCAAACACCAUUCAAAAGCUAAAGAGCUAUUUUUCUUCUGUAUACUUUGUAAUAAAAAUUAAUUGAAAAACAA